rnacentral:rRNA from 1 species
GAUGAACGCUAGCGGCAGGCUUAAUACAUGCAAGUCGUGGGGCAGCAUGAAUGUAGCAAUACAUUUGAUGGCGACCGGCAAACGGGUGCGGAACACGUACACAACCUUCCUAUAAGUGGGGAAUAGCCCAGAGAAAUUUGGAUUAAUACCCCGUAACAUAACGAUGUGGCAUCACAUUGUUAUUAUAGCUUCGGCGCUUAUUGAUGGGUGUGCGGCUGAUUAGAUAGUUGGCGGGGUAACGGCCCACCAAGUCUACGAUCAGUAGCUGAUGUGAGAGCAUGAUCAGCCACACGGGCACUGAGACACGGGCCCGACUCCUACGGGAGGCAGCAGUAAGGAAUAUUGGUCAAUGGACGCAAGUCUGAACCAGCCAUGCCGCGUGAAGGAUUAAGGUCCUCUGGAUUGUAAACUUCUUUUAUCUGGGACGAAAAAAGGCUUUUCUAAGUCACUUGACGGUACCAGAUGAAUAAGCACCGGCUAACUCCGUGCCAGCAGCCGCCGUAAUAC